AUUAGAAUAUUGACAGGGCAGGAACACUAAAUUUCUGUGAUUCUAACAUCACUCCUGAGGACUUCUUUUAUCUUUGAUGGAUAAUAAAGAAGGGGGUGGGGGGAAGGAUCAUAUUUUUCAUUGAUUCAACUGACAAGGGCUACUUUGUAAGCUUUUGAAAAUAAGUAAACUUUGGGUUUCCUGCUUGUGUUGUGAGGCACAACCACCUUGGAGUGAUUCCAAGGCACCUUCGGUGUGAGACCGUAGGCCAGUG